rnacentral:tRNA from 1 species
AAGACUUUAAGUUAAAUUAAACUAAAAACCUUCAAAGUUUUCAACAGACAUGUUCUAAGUCUUG